GUUUUAAUAGUUUAAACAAAACAUUGAUCUUGUAAAUCAAAAAUAUUUUUAAUUUAAAACU
rnacentral:tRNA from 1 species